CGGCAAUAGCUCAAAUUUGAAAUCUGGCUUCUUCGAAGUCCGAGUUGUAAUUUGUAGAGGGAGUUUCGGGCAAGGCAGUAGCCUAAGUCUCUUGGAACAGAGUGUCACAGAGGGUGAGAAUCCCGUAUGUGGUUGCUGACCGAGUCCAUGUGAAACCCCUUCGAC
rnacentral:rRNA from 1 species